UACGUAGGGUGCAAGCGUUAAUCGGAAUUACUGGGCGUAAAGCGUGCGCAGGCGGUUUUGUAAGUCUGUCGUGAAAUCCCCGGGCUUAACCUGGGAAUGGCGAUGGAGACUGCAAGGCUAGAGUUUGGCAGAGGGGGGUAGAAUUCCACGUGUAGCAGUGAAAUGCGUAGAGAUGUGGAGGAACACCGAUGGCGAAGGCAGCCCCCUGGGCCAAAACUGACGCUGAGGCACGAAAGCGUGGGGAGCAAACAGG
rnacentral:rRNA from 1 species